ensembl:lncRNA
CGGCAAAGGUAACGUGCAUGUUUACCGGUAUGUCUGGAUCAUAUUGCAAUGGCACGAAGACACAUUGAAGCAUUUCAGUUUGACCCAGAAUCCGAUCCAGAUGGAGAAGCAACGGAUGAAGAAGUUGCAACUCAGCGCCUCCAGAAGGAUGUUUCCGAAUGGCUCAAGAGGCACAUAUACAUUUGGCUGAAAAGUGCUGUGAAAUAAAAGCCCAGAUGUUCCAUCACCCUUGUUCCAAAGGUCAGUCCACCCUGAGUUUUGUGUUUUU